AGAGUUUGAUCCUGGCUCAGAACGAACGCUGGCGGCAGGCCUAACACAUGCAAGUCGAGCGCCCCGCAAGGGGAGCGGCGGACGGGUGAGUAACACGUGGGAAUUUUCCUCAAGGUACGGAACAACUCAGGGAAACUUGGGCUAAUACCGUAUGAUGCAGAGAUGCCAAAGAUUUAUCGCCUUGGGAUAAGCCCGCGUCAGAUUAGGUAGUUGGUGGGGUAAUGGCCUACCAAGCCUGUGAUCUGUAGCUGGUCUGAGAGGACGAUCAGCCACAUUGGGACUGAGACACGGCCCAAACUCCUACGGGAGGCAGCAGUGGGGAAUCUUGCGCAAUGGACGAAAGUCUGACGCAGCCAUGCCGCGUGAAUGAUGAAGGUCUUAGGAUUGUAAAGUUCUUUAGCCUGUGACGAUGAUGACGGUAACAGGAGAAUAAGCCCCGGCUAACUUCGUGCCAGCAGCCGCGGUAAUACGAAGGGGGCUAGCGUUGUUCGGAAUUACUGGGCGUAAAGCGCGCGUAGGCGGUUUUACAAGCCAGAGGUGAAAUGCCUGAGCUCAACUUAGGAAUUGCCUUUGGAACUGUAUGGCUUUGAGGACGAGAGAGGUGAGUGGAAUUCCCAGUGUAGAGGUGAAAUUCGUAGAUAUUGGGAAGAACACCGGUGGCGAAGGCGGCUCACUGGCUCGUUACUGACGCUGUAGCGCGAAAGCGUGGGGAUCAAACAGGAUUAGAUACCCUGGUAGUCCACGCUGUAAACGAUGAGUGCUAGGCGUCGGCACGCUUGCGUGUCGGUGCCGCAGCUAACGCGUGAAGCACUCCGCCCUGGGGAGUACGGUCGCAAGAUUAAAAACUUAAAAGGAAUUGGACGG
rnacentral:rRNA from 1 species